GCUUACNCNUGCAGUCGAGGGGCAGCAUUGGUACUUGUAUCAGAUGGCGACCGGCGCACGGGUGCGUAACGCGUAUAGAACCUACCUUUAACAGAAGGAUAGCCCGAAGAAAUUUGGAUUAAUACUUCAUAGUAUUGUUUAAUGGCAUCAUUUGAACAAUUAAAGAUUUAUCGGUUAAAGAUGGCUAUGCGUCUUAUUAGCUAGUUGGUGAGGUAACGGCUUACCAAGGCUACGAUAAGUAGGGGUCCUGAGAGGGAGAUCCCCCACACUGGUACUGAGACACGGACCAGACUCCUACGGGAGGCAGCAGUGAGGAAUAUUGGACAAUGGAGGCAACUCUGAUCCAGCCAUGCCGCGUGUAGGAAGACUGCCUUAUGGGUUGUAAACUACUUUUAUAUAGGAAGAAACGAUCUUACGUGUAAGAUUUUGACGGUACUAUAAGAAUAAGGAUCGGCUAACUCCGCGCCAGCAGCCGCGGUAAUACGGAGGAUCCAAGCGUUAUCCGGAAUCAUUGGGUUUAAAGGGUCCGUAGGCGGUUUUAUAAGUCAGUGGUGAAAGUUACCAGCUUAACUGGGAAAUUGCCAUUGAUACUGUAGAACUUGAAUUAUUGUGAAGUGGUUAGAAUAAGUAGUGUAGCGGUGAAAUGCAUAGAUAUUACUUAGAAUACCGAUUGCGAAGGCAGAUCACUAACAAUACAUUGACGCUGAUGGACGAAAGCGNNNNNAGCGAACAGGAUUAGAUACCCUGGUAGUCCACGCCGUAAACGAUGGAUACUAGCUGUUUGGACUUCGGUUUGAGUGGCUAAGCNAAAGUGAUAAGUAUCCCACCUGGGGAGUACGUUCGCAAGAAUGAAACUCAAAGGAAUUG
rnacentral:rRNA from 1 species